UACGAAGGGAGCUAGCGUUGUUCGGAAUCACUGGGCGUAAAGCGCACGUAGGCGGAUGUGUCAGUCAGGGGUGAAAUCCCGGAGCUCAACUUCGGAACUGCCCUUGAUACAGCACGUCUUGAGUCCGGGAGAGGUGAGUGGAACUGCGAGUGUAGAGGUGAAAUUCGUAGAUAUUCGCAAGAACACCAGUGGCGAAGGCGGCUCACUGGCCCGGUACUGACGCUGAGGUGCGAAAGCGUGGGGAGCAAACAGG
rnacentral:rRNA from 1 species